rnacentral:rRNA from 1 species
AAAUUGAAGAGUUUGAUCAUGGCUCAGAUUGAACGCUGGCGGCAGGCCUAACACAUGCAAGUCGAACGGUAGCACAGAGAGCUUGCUCUCGGGUGACGAGUGGCGGACGGGUGAGUAAUGUCUGGGAAACUGCCUGAUGGAGGGGGAUAACUACUGGAAACGGUGGCUAAUACCGCAUAACGUCGCAAGACCAAAGAGGGGGACCUUCGGGCCUCUUGCCAUCAGAUGUGCCCAGAUGGGAUUAGCUAGUUGGUGAGGUAACGGCUCACCAAGGCGACGAUCCCUAGCUGGUCUGAGAGG